rnacentral:miRNA from 1 species
GCGCGGGGCGGGCGGGCGGC